rnacentral:ncRNA from 1 species
AUAAAAACAAAGACCAAGAGGAGUAAUAUAUACUACUUAUUAGAGAUGAAAAGUUAUUAGCUGAAAGCUUUUCUUAAGGAAUAUAUAUGAAGGUAGCUUGUGAGUUUAAUUUCUGAGUUUAGUAAGAAAUUACGUAAUUAUGCGUUAAAAAUAUAAGAAGUAAAUAAGGUGGUACCACGAUUUAAUCGUCCUUUGG